UACGGAGGAUCCGAGCGUUAUCCGGAUUUAUUGGGUUUAAAGGGUGCGUAGGCGGGGAUUUAAGUCAGCGGUGAAAGUUUGAGGCUCAACCUUAAAAUUGCCGUUGAAACUGGGUUUCUUGAGUGUAUUUGAAGCAGGCGGAAUUCGUUGUGUAGCGGUGAAAUGCAUAGAUAUAACGAAGAACUCCAAUUGCGCAGGCAGCUUACUAAACUACAACUGACGCUGAAGCACGAAAGCGUGGGUAUCAAACAGG
rnacentral:rRNA from 1 species